GCCAGUGGUUCUGAGGGCAGAAGGGAAGGCUGGUACUAACCUAGUGCCUGGGAGAAACAUUAAGAUCAAGAGUACAGCUAUGGGAGCCAGACUGCCUGGAUCUGAAAUUGUUUCUGCCACAAGCUAUAGCUGGAAAUUGAAGAAUGCAAUGAAAAGCAAGAGUCAGAGAAAUCCCUGCCACGUGGCACACAGAUGUACAACUCUGGGCAAAGGUUUCCACAAAUACCAUUUCUUCACUCCAAAGUCCAUCUAUGUGUUUUCCCUGAAAUACAGAAUGCUGCAUGUCUGUCUGCCGGUCUCUUAUCCUAGGAGCCUCAGCAGCAGAGGCAGAAGGAGCUCCUAUAACUCUGGAGAUAAAAUACUGGCUCACACAGGCUGACGCUGCGUAGGGGCACUCAUGGACUUUAUUUAUUCUUUAUUCAAAUGGACAUAGUGUCUGCGCUGACAGAGGCAGCCUAGAAAAGAGAAACUGUGUCUAUUGUAACUUUUACUUAAGUGGUGUAAAUGAAAAGAUCAUCACCCAAAGAUUUGGUGAGAUUUCCAUUCAGAGAAAGAGAAUGAGUUCAAACAAACAAAAGAGGACAAGAUCUGGGAUUAGGUUUGAUAAGGUCUGAAACAUACAAGGAAGGAAAUAAAAUUUCUGAUUCCAUACCUGGGGGAGAAAUCAGAAUUUUCGAUGGCUAUAUUACCCUGCCCCCACCCACCUCUCCCAUGAAGAGAGGCAAUAGGGAGGUGCUUGAAUUCUUUCAGGUCCUAUGGGUGUCACUGAGUAAUUCGUUUCUUAAGUGUCUCAAAUAAACAUGGCUGAAAUAACAGAUAAAGCUCAUGUGGGAGCCCAACUGGGGGGAGUGCAUUUCUGAUGUCCAAAGUCCAUGUGACAAUGCCAUCUGAAAAACAUGUGACUUGAAGCCAAAGCAAUGACACUAAACCCACUUGAGUGAGCAAUUCUGUAAAAGGCAUCCAUCUUGGAGCCCAGCCCAGACAUUAGUGAAACUCAGUAUUGUACGACAAUCUGACUUACCACAAGGUCUUACGGCAGAGUCCAGGUAUGGUGUUAACCUCUGAAUCACCUAAUCUGGGAAGGAGCCAGCUGGCUUACAGAACUCCUGAAAUUGAAACACUACCAGAGAUGGGAAAGUAUGCAUGCCUUAGUAACUCUGAUAAGAGGCUCUCAAAAACGGAAAACCACACAAUGGCCAACAAUGUUUUAGUUUCUGAGAAGUUCCUUGUCUAGUGGGGAAAGCAGAUAAAAAAAUAAAAAGCUUAGAAAAUAAUUCAAGUGUAAUAGUAAGGGUAGGUCCAGGGUGCUGUCAGACACACAAGAAGGACACCUCAUCCAGCCAGAUGGUAAGGGCCAGGGAAGGCUGUCACUCUGUCUAGUUAUAAGAAAUUCAGAGUACAUUUGAUAUGUCUUGUCUUGAAGAUGACACUUGUCCUCCAAGUAAAUCAGACUCUCCCCAGAACCAUGCCAGAGGACUUAGCUCUUCUCAUAAAAGCUGUAUGUAUUUAUUCAUCUGCAUCCUUGGUGAACGGAAGAAAGGUCAGAAAUGUGUCAAUGUUUAGACAUAGGCCAGUGCUACUGCUUUUUAACCUAUGGUCCACAGCCUUGUCAACUGAGUUAUUGAAUUAAUAUUCCUCCCUACGUGCUUUUCUUUAAAAAUCCUGUUCUUUCAUGUCUUCCAAUCUGAGUGCCUACUUCUCUUUACAUGAUUUUUAACAAAUCUCUACCUAACCACUUGGACAAACUAUUUAACUUCAUGUGACCUUAUUUAUUCUGGAAGAUAAAAGCAUAAUUGCCUUAGACAAAUUUUUUUUUAGUUUACAUUAUGCAAGACUUCAUCUCACUUGAUAUUUGCUAUUUUCCCUUCCCCAUCUUCUGCAUACUUCCAGGAGGUCUCCUGAAUAGUCCGUGCCCAAGCAGCAUAAGCCUAGGAGUUAUUUUCAGUAUCAGGUCUCUGUUUAUAACUAAAUACCUAGAAACAUUUCCAUUUCCUGUAAAGUUAUCUGAGUCAGGUGAGCUGAAAAUUGGAGAAUGGGCUCUAUCUGGGCUGCCCGGAGAGCUCAAGGCCCUAAAAGUGAAUGUCGUCUUCUAACUGCCUGACAAAGCUGUUUAUCAUUCCUGGCUUAGUACUUUACAUCCAGGACAGGGUCUGACCAGCCUGAAUCGUGACAAAAUUAGGCUGCAUAUUGGAAACUUCGUAUCCUUUUCUCUUUUCUCACUGGCAAUAUUCAUGUGUCCAUUAUUCCUCUGGACUAGAGAGGCCAAAGGAGCUCAGGAAUGACAACGGCUGGGCCCUUUCAGUUGCAGGCUGGGAUUACGCCAUGGGUGUCCUCCGGAUGCACUCUCUGUCUUAUGGUGGGUCUCUAAGAGUGGAAUGAUUUGUUGUUCAGUAAGGGCCAUACUCAAGGAUUUUAUCCUGAGUUUGGACACAAUGCAGGGUCACGUUAAUUACCUUGGAAAUGAGAGUGGUGGUAGCCAGUGGAGAGGCUAUUUUGGAAUAAGACAGUAACAUUAUCCAAAGCCACUUCCAGUUCUAAGAUAAAUAUGCACCAAUUGAUAGAACAUGCAGAUUUUUCUCAUUAGAUCUGCUAAUGUAGUGAAUUAAAUGGACAGAGUUUUUAACAGCUCUGUUGAGAUAUAACUCGCAUACCAUACAAUUCACCCAAUUAAAGCAGACAACAGUUUUUAGAACAGUCACAUAAUUGUGCAGCCAUCACCACAAUCUAAUUUUAGAAUAUUUUCAUCACACCAAAGAGAAACCCUGUUAUCCAUUAGCCAUCACCAUCCAAUGUCCCCAUUUCCCUCUCAGGCCUAAGCAACCACUAAUCUACUGUCUGUCUCUAUAGAUUUGCCUAUUAUAGACAUUUCAUAUAAAUAGAGUCAUAUAAUAUAUGGUAUUUCAUGACUGGCUUCUUUCAUUUAUCAUAAUGUUUUCAAGGUUCAUCCUGUUGUGGCAUCUAACAGGGCUUCAUUCUUUGUUAUUGCCAAAAAAUAUUCCACUGUGUGAAAACACCACUCUUUGUUUUAUUGAUUCAUCAGUGGUUGGCAUUUGUAUUAUUUCUACUUUUUGGCUAUUAUGAAUAAUGAGACUAUGCCUCAUUAUUUACAAUAGCUAAGACAUGGAAACAAUCUAAGUGUCUAUCAACAGAUGACUAGAUAAAGAAGAUGUGGCACAUAUACAUACAGUGGAAUAUCAUUUAGCCAUAAAAAAGGAGGAAAUCCUACCAAUGUGACAACAUGGAUGGACCUUGAGGGCAUCAUGCUAAGUGAAAUAAGGCAGACAAAUACCAUACGAUCUAACUUAUAUGUAGAAUCUAAAACAAACAAACAAAAAAACUCAUAGAAAAAGAGAUCAGAUUUGUGGUUACCAGAGGUGUGUGUGGGGGGUGGAUUGGAUAAAGGGGGUCAAAAGGUACAAACUUCCAGUUAUAAGAUAAGUAAGUACUAGGGAUGUAAUGUUUAACAUGACUAUAGUUAACACUGCUACAUGGUAUGUAUAAAAGUUAAGAGAGUAAAUCCUAAGAGUUCUCAUCACAAGGAAAAAAAAUUUUUUUUCUCUUUUUCUUUUUUUUUUGGUAUCUAUAUGAGAUGAUGGAUGUUACCUAAAUUAUUGUGGUAAUCAUUUCACAAUGUAAGUCAAAUCAUUAUGCUGUGUACCUUAAACUUACAUAAUGCAGUAUGUUAAUUAUAUCUCAAUAAAACUGGAAAAAAUGCA